rnacentral:misc_RNA from 1 species
GGAAGUAAAAGUCGUGACAAGGUCUCCGUUGGUGAACCAGCGGAGGGAUCAUUACAGAGUUGCAAAACUCCCAAACCAUUGUGAACGUUACCUAUCCCGUUGCUUCGGCGGGCGGCCCGGGCCCCGCGCCCGGCGCCCCCCGGCCCCCCGUGGGCGCCCGCCGGAGGUAAACCAAACCCUUGAAUUGCAUGGCCUCUCUGAGUCUUCUGUACUGAAUAAGUCAAAACUUUCAACAACGGAUCUCUUGGUUCUG